rfam:Branchiostoma floridae genomic scaffold BRAFLscaffold_41, whole genome shotgun sequence.
GUGUGUGGAUGGUGUUCAGCACCAGGGACAGGUGUUUUUACAUGUGUGUGGAUGGUGUUCAGCACCAGGGACAGGUGUGUUUACCU